rnacentral:rRNA from 1 species
AUGCACGCUGGCGGCGUGCUUCACCCCUGCCAGUCGCACGGAAAGGCUCCUGCUUGCAGGGGUACUCGAGUGGCGAACGGGUGAGUAACACGUGGGUGAUCUGCCCUGCACUUCGGGAUAAGCCUGGGAAACUGGGUCUAAUACCGGAUAGGACGAUGGUUUGGAUGCCAUUGUGGAAAGUUUUUCGGUGUGGGAUGAGCUCGCGGCCUAUCAGCUUGUUGGUGGGGUAAUGGCCUACCAAGGCGUCGACGGGUAGCCGGCCUGAGAGGGUGUACGGCCACAUUGGGACUGAGAUACGGCCCAGACUCCUACGGGAGGCAGCAGUGGGGAAUAUUGCACAAUGGGCGCAAGCCUGAUGCAGCGACGCCGCGUGGGGGAUGACGGCCUUCGGGUUGUAAACUCCUUUCGCUAGGGACGAAGCGCAAGUGACGGUACCUGGAGAAGAAGCACCGGCUAACUACGUG